AGUGAACGCUGGCGGUAGGCCUAACACAUGCAAGUCGAACGGCAGCACAGGAGAGCUUGCUCUCUGGGUGGCGAGUGGCGGACGGGUGAGGAAUACAUCGGAAUCUGCCCAGUCGUGGGGGAUAACGUAGGGAAACUUACGCUAAUACCGCAUACGACCUUCGGGUGAAAGAGGGGGAUCGCAAGACCUCUCGCGAUUGGAUGAGCCGAUGUCGGAUUAGCUAGUUGGCGGGGUAAUGGCCCACCGAGGCGACGAUCCGUAGCUGGUCUGAGAGGAUGAACAGCCACACUGGAACUGAGACACGGUCCAGACUCCUACGGGAGGCAGCAGUGGGGAAUAUUGGACAAUGGGCGCAAGCCUGAUCCAGCCAUACCGCGUGGGUGAAGAAGGCCUUCGGGUUGUAAAGCCCUUUUGUUGGGAAAGAAAUCUUUCAGGCUAAUACCCUGGGAGGAUGACGGUACCCAAAGAAUAAGCACCGGCUAACUUCGUG
rnacentral:rRNA from 1 species